rnacentral:miRNA from 1 species
UCGCAGGAGAGAUGGCACUGUCU